AAAAAAAUAAAAAUACAAUUGGACGCUACGACGAACCCAAACCCGACCGUUGAUUCAGAGCAUCGUCGCCGGUCGCAGCCAGUGACUGAACCGACCAAGCAUGAUCCGCAAGUAACCUAUCUCAAUCCUGUCUCAAUAUGAGCUCCUUCGUGUAUAAAACUUUCUGGGUUUGUGCCACAUAAAUGUAUCUUUUAUGCUCAUUGGGUGUAAUUGGAAAAGGUCAAGCAAAUAAGGAGCUCGAGAGAACAGGUAAACCUUUGGCCAUCGCCUUAUACCAGAGAAAAACAAUAUGUAUCCAGCGUUCAAGGAAAUGUAUGAUAAGUGGGGUUGAACGUGAAAUCAGAGGGAUUGCUAUUUCCAGGUGGUAGAGGGGCUGCAAAAAAAAAAAGUCGUUGUAGGCUCAAUAUUUAAUGGCUGAGCCAGCUUGUACAGAUGAGUGGGAAGACGACUAAGCUGAGCGAAUAGAGUACAAUGAGCUGAUAACAGCGUUAAGGCUGAGAUUGCCAAAUCUCCUUUCACUCAGACCUUCUUAUGACUUUGAAGGUCGAGUCGCAGCAGUUGGGAUUGCCACACAGUCUCUGGUACACCGUAACAAGGUUUUCAGAAUAAAUGAAGAGAUAGAAACAGCAAAGACGC